rnacentral:tRNA from 1 species
GCCGACGUGGCCGAAUAGCGAGGCACCGGUUUUGUAAACCGGUUGAUGCUGGUGCAAAUCCAGUCGUCGGCU